rnacentral:rRNA from 1 species
CAGUAGCCGCGGUAAUACGUAGGGUGCAAGCGUUAAUCGGAAUUACUGGGCGUAAAGCGUGCGCAGGCGGUUAUAUAAGUCAGAUGUGAAAUCCCCGGGCUCAACCUGGGAACUGCAUUUGAGACUGUAUGGCUAGAGUGUGUCAGAGGGGGGUAGAGUUCCACGUGUAGCAGUGAAAUGCGUAGAUAUGUGGAGGAAUACCGAUGGCGAAGGCAGCCCCCUGGGAUAACACUGACGCUCAUGCACGAAAGCGUGGGGAGCAAACAGGAUUAGAUACCCCUGUAGUCCCUGUCUCUUAUAC